UACGUAGGGGGCUAGCGUUGUCCGGAUUUAUUGGGCGUAAAGAGCUCGUAGGCGGUUUGUCGCGUCUGCUGUGAAACUCAGGCUUAACCCUGAGCUUGCAGUGGGUACGGGCAGACUAGAGUGCGGUAGGGGAGACUGGAAUUCCUGGUGUAGCGGUGAAAUGCGCAGAUAUCAGGGAGGGAACACCGGUGGGCGAAAGG
rnacentral:rRNA from 1 species